UACGUAGGGCGCAAGCGUUGUCCGGAAUUAUUGGGCGUAAAGAGCUCGUAGGCGGCCUGUUGCGUCCGCUGUGAAAUCCCGGGGCUCAACCCCGGGCCUGCAGUGGAUACGGGCUGGCUAGAGGCAGGCAGGGGAGAACGGAAUUCCUGGUGUAGCGGUGAAAUGCGCAGAUAUCAGGAGGAACACCGGUGGCGAAGGCGGUUCUCUGGGCCUGUACUGACGCUGAGGAGCGAAAGCGUGGGGAGCGAUCCGG
rnacentral:rRNA from 1 species